rnacentral:rRNA from 1 species
AUUGAACGCUGGCGGAAUGCUUUACACAUGCAAGUCGAGCGGCAGCGCGGGGCAACCUGGCGGCAAGCGGCGAACGGGUGAGUAAUACAUCGGAACGUGCCCAGACGUGGGGGGAUAACUACUCGAAAGAGUGGCUAAUACCGCAUACGAUCUACGGAUGAAAGCGGGGGAUCGCAAGACCUCGCGCGUCUGGAGCGGCUGAUGGCAGAUUAGGUAGUUGGUGGGGGUAAAGGCUUACCAAGCCUGCGAUCUGUAGCUGGUCUGAGAGGACGACCAGCCACACUGGGACUGAGACACGGCCCAGACUCCUACGGGAGGCAGCAGUGGGGAAUUUUGGACAAUGGGCGAAAGCCUGAUCCAGCCAUUCCGCGUGCAGGAUGAAGGCCCUCGGGUUGUAAACUGCUUUGUACGGAACGAAAAAGCUCCGGCUAAUACCUGGAGUCCAUGACGGUACCGUAAGAAUAAGCACCGGCUAACUACGUGCCAGCAGCCGCGGUAAU